ensembl:lncRNA
AACUGAGUGACCCACAGGAAAAUGUAUCGCAGCAGACGAAAGUGCACCUUCACUUCAAGUUUGAAGGCCUGGAGGGGAGUCCCCAAAGGAGCAGAUGCCACAUCUUGAGCGCUUAGCGUUUGUGGAUUUUAGCCCGGACCAAACAUUCAAUAAGGCGGCCGUGUUCUUUAAUUCCUUCGAGCUCCGGUUAUAUUGAAUUACAUCACAUCUUUAAUCAAGGCCACUGGAAAACUACACAGAACAUUUGUUCCACAUGGCAUGGGAAAGUCGAAAAGCCCUGCAGAAAGACGCCAGUGCCCCCACCCCUUCCUCUUUGUCCUUUUGCAUUCAUACAACGACGUCCUGAAGUCACAGCCAGGAAGUGGAGCAGAGGAAGAAGUUGCAGGGUGCCAGGUGCACCGCCCCGUCCUCAGCCGUCUCCCCCGGUGGGGUCCAGGUUCCCUGAGGUGGCGAGUUUGGGAAAGGCUCUGGGCGGUUCUGCUCCCCACCAGGGCAAGCGGUGAGGAUCGAAGGAGGACAGCCGGAACCUGGGUGUACUAUGGGUGCUGAUGUCACCACCCUGGGUGGCACUCAGGUCUGGGGGUGGCAGUUCUCUUUACUAUCACGACAAAGCCAAGGCCUCUCAGACCCCAGCCCCUCACUUGGUCUGGGUACCUGGGAGCCAGGACCGGGCUGGGCACAGGGAGGUUGGUGGUAUGGUCAAGGAAGGACAUGCAGACUGCUUGGCUUGUGGGUGUUUUAAGUUUUGUUUGCUGUGUUUCUGGAUACUUGGAAAGUUAGAAAAGCAGUAUGAAAUUCCAAUGCAUAUAAACUGCCACCAGGCAUGGUGACACAUGCCUGUCAUCUCAGCAUUCAGGAGGCUGAGGCAGGAGGAUCGCUGAGUUCAAGGCCAGCCUGGGCUCCAUAGUGAGACCCUGUCCUCGCAACUCCCUCUCAAGAAAACUUUGCCAAUGCUGGAAAAUAAAG